CACAAAGGUAGACAUAAAGGUAGAAAUAAAGGUAGAAAUAAAGGUAGAAAUAAAGGUAGACAUAAAGGUAGACAUUAAGGUAGACAUAGAGGUAGACAUAGAGGUAGACAUAAAGGUAGACAAAAAGCUACACACAAAA